rnacentral:rRNA from 1 species
AUCCAGACUCCUACGGGAGGCAGCAGUGAGGAAUAUUGGUCAAUGGGCGGGAGCCUGAACCAGCCAAGUCGCGUGAGGGAAGACGGUCCUACGGAUUGUAAACCUCUUUUGCCGGGGAGCAACGGGGUCCUUGCGAGGGCCCAAUGAGAGUACCCGGAGAUGAAGCAUCGGCUAACUCCGUGCCAGCAGCCGCGGUAAUACGGAGGAUGCGAGCGUUAUCCGGAUUUAUUGGGUUUAAAGGGUGCGUAGGCGGGCUGUUAAGUCAGCGGUAAAAGGUCGGGGCUCAACCCCGGCCUGCCGUUGAAACUGGAGAUCUAGAGUGUGCGAGAGGUAUGCGGAAUGCGUGGUGUAGCGGUGAAAUGCAUAGAUAUCACGCAGAACCCCGAUUGCGAAGGCAGCAUACCGGUGCACAACUGACGCUCAGGCACGAAAGCGUGGGUAUCGAACAGGAUUAGAUACCCGAGUAC